CCUGGAGACUCCUACGGGAGGCAGCAGUGAGGAAUAUUGGUCAAUGGACGGAAGUCUGAACCAGCCAAGUAGCGUGCAGGAUGACGGCCCUAUGGGUUGUAAACUGCUUUUGUAUGGGGAUAAAGUCAAUCACGUGUGAUUGUUUGCAGGUACCAUACGAAUAAGGACCGGCUAAUUCCGUGCCAGCAGCCGCGGUAAUACGGAAGGUUCGGGCGUUAUCCGGAUUUAUUGGGUUUAAAGGGAGCGUAGGCCGGAGAUUAAGUGUGUUGUGAAAUGUAGACGCUCAACGUCUGACUUGCAGCGCAUACUGUUUUCCUUGAGUACGCACAACGUUGGCGGAAUUCGUCGUGUAGCGGUGAAAUGCUUAGAUAUGACGAAGAACUCCGAUUGCGAAGGCAGCUGACGGGAGCGCAACUGACGCUGAAGCUCGAAGGUGCGGGUAUCGAACAGGAUUAGAAACCCUUGUAGUCCAGAAGUG
rnacentral:rRNA from 1 species